rnacentral:rRNA from 1 species
GACGAACGCUGGCGGCGUGCCUAAUACAUGCAAGUAGAACGCUGAAGAGAGGAGCUUGCUCUUCUUGGAAGAGUUGCGAACGGGUGAGUAACGCGUAGGUAACCUGCCUUGUAGCGGGGGAUAACUAUUGGAAACGAUAGCUAAUACCGCAUAACAAUGGAUGACCCAUGUCAUUUAUUUGAAAGGGGCAACUGCUCCACUACAAGAUGAACCUGCGUUGUAUUAGCUAGUAGGUGAGGUAACGGCUCACCUAGGCGACGAUACAUAGCCGACCUGAGAGGGUGAUCGGCCACACGGGGACUGAGACACGGCCCAGACUCCUACGGGAGGCAGCAGUAGGGAAUCUUCGGCAAUGGGGGCAACCCUGACCGAGCAACGCCGCGUGAGUGAAGAAGGUUUUCGGAUCGUAAAGCUCUGUUGUAAGUCAAGAACGAGUGUGAGAGUGGAAAGUUCACACUGUGACGGUAGCUUACCAGAAAGGGACGGCUAACUACGUGCCAGCCGCCGCAGUAA